CGGGGGGAGCAAGCGUUGUUCGGAUUUACUGGGCGUAAAGGGUCGCGUAGGCGGCCACCGCAAGUCGACUGUGAAAUCUCCGGGCUUAACCCGGAAAGGUCAGCCGAUACUGCGGGGCUAGAGUGCAGAAGGGGCAACUGGAAUUCUCGGUGUAGCGGUGAAAUGCGUAGAUAUCGAGAGGAACACCUGCGGCGAAGGCGGGUUGCUGGGCUGACACUGACGCUGAGGCACGAAAGCUAGGGGAGCGAACGGGAUUAGAUACCCCGGUAGUCCUAGCCUUAAACGAUGAAUGCUUGGUGUCUGGGGUUUUAUAGUCCCCGGGUGCCGUCGCUAACGCUUUAAGCAUUCCGCCUGGGGAGUACGGUCGCAAGACUG
rnacentral:rRNA from 1 species